UUCAAUGACGUAGACAAGCAUAUCAGCGACGUGCAGCCAUAUUUAAAUACAUCAAGGCAAUUAGCGCAUCAAAAUAUGCAAAUCCCGCAUACAGGCUACAUAGUCCGCCCUGCUGCAGUCGGAGUAUAAUUCCCCCCCAGCUCAGUUCUUGGGUGUUUGAUUUGCCGUUUUGAAAGCCAACAUAGUCUUUGCGUGGUGAUUUUUUGUGCGUGUUGUUUUUGUUUUUCCAAGACGCUUCGUUAGACGUGAACGGGACAGAAGGGGAGAGACAGACGCGAGGAGACGGGGAACCGCGGCUCCUGUGGAAAAACCGCCCAUGCGUAAUGAGACGACCACGCUCCGCCAUGCUCGAUUCUCCGACGCCGUUGGCUCUGGUGAGGGCGAACUUUUGUGCCGAAGCAGGUCCAGAGCUGCUCCCCUCGUCCAUUGAACCUUGGCUCUUAAACUGCUCGUGGCUGAACACCAGUGGUCGGACUGGCUCACGUAAAGACUUCCAAACUCCACAGGAGUCCUCCACCCCACCUAUUCUGGGCUCCCCACGCCAAAAGAAAGGAGUAAUACUCAGCCCACGCAUUACUUGCUGUAAAACAUUAGGAUAUUACCUUAUAGGUUGCUCCUUUAAUCAUCAUAUUCUUUUCAAUUGGCCACUUUUUUUCUCCUUCUUUUCAUCCCUUGAAUUAUGCAGGUAACUUAUUUUAUAUUCAAAAAUAACUAUCCGAGGGUCAAUUGUGUUCACACUUUUGCCACAGACAGAAUAUAGCGAUAAUUGUUCCAUUAAGAUAUCAUUCAUUUUUUUUACGAAGAGGUUGUUUGAUAGACAAUUUAACAAAACCAUGUGUGAUCUUCUCACUGACACGAUUCGAUAUUGAUUAAUUUGUUAAAACACGUCUUUCUCAGACCUUCAACAUUAGAAGGGUAAAUCAAUUUUUACUCCUUAUCCACCUUUUAUUUUUAUUUUGUAAUUGUUGAAACUCUAUUCUACAUACACAGGUCCACAUUCGGUAAUAAGAGUUGAAUGGGGGGGGGGGCUGCUCAGUGAUCCUCAUUUGAAUCAAUUAUCGGAGAGAAACAUUCAUAGACACCGGAUUACUCAUCUGUUCCCGGUGAUAUACAAUAACUUCGUUGAAUUCAGUAAAAUGGUGAUUGUUGCGUGAUUAUACAGUGUUCCGGUGAAGCGGGAAGAAAAAUAAUAACAGAUGACAACAGAUGACAACAAAAGAUAAGAUGAAAACAUGGACGAAUAAAAACAGCCCGAUUUUCUUUUUUACUCUCAAAUGAUGUUAUUGGGGAUGUGAUGUCAGCCAACAUCUUAUGUGGCUACCAUCAUUUAUCAUUAUCGAUUUUACCAUAUAUUUUAUAUUAAAACGAUGCAAGAAAAAUAAUCACAGGCGGUCAUUUUCUUUUCGGAAAUCAUCAGUGAGUCUAAAACCGUAUUUAUGUGGACACAUUUCAAAUGGUGGUGGUGGAGGCCAUGCAGCAGCAGUCAUAUAGGAACAGGGCAGAACAGUGGAAACUGGUGUAAUGAGACAAAGAACCAGUCAAGCAAUUUUUUCAAUACGUCCAGCUGUUAUUGUGCACUGCACCGUGCACUAAUGAGAACGUAUUAUUAUUAUAAUAAUAAUUGUUAUUAUUAUUAUCAUUCUUACUGUUGUUGUUGUUGUUGUUGUUACAGUCCUUACAUUACUGUACAUCUUAAUCUUAAUCCUUAUAGGAUCUGGAGUGUAGAUGUAAAUGGUAAGGGAGGAAGAGUUUUAUUUUUAACUGUAUCUGCACUGUGCCUCGCGUAAUAAUAAAAACAAUAAUAUUAAUAAUAAUAAAAUUGAUAAUAAUAAAAAAGUUUUUUUUUAAGGCAGUUAGAGAAGCGCAGAGGCUAAUCUGGGUAAUUGUGGUGCAUCUGCAUGAAUGGCUUUGGAGACUGAAGGUGAGGAGGAGGAGGAGGAGAAAGGUUACGAGCCUUGUCAACUUCACGACUAAAUGGUGACAUCUAGUGGCGAUUUAGGGGAACGUCGAUGAAAAGGGGGGGGGGGGGGGGCGUACAUCCUCCACCACGGUCAGUGAGGUUCACGUGCCACCUGCACGCGCCCUUCAUUUCACCCCACCCACCUUCAGUCAUUCACUCUCAUUUCUAAAUAUAUAUUCUUUUAGAAAAUAUGUACACAAGACAAUCUUUAAAUAUACAGUCUAUUAAAAUCUAUAAAAAAAACAUUUGCUGAGAACCUUCGUUGCCACAGCCCAGUUUGAUAAGAUGUCUGACUCGACUGACUGGUCUACAGAUGUUACAGAUGUGCAGGGUGACUGUGACACUAAACUGAUUCAAAUGGUCCUAUACUUCCAUCAACCCUUCGCCUAUAGUUUUUUGGGGGGGAUAUUGACCUAUAGAUCUAGAUAUUGUUUCUUAUUUGGAAGUUAUUCCCUGACUUUUUCUUUCAUAAACUCACAUAUUUUUUUUGACCUCACACUUUUUGACCCAUUGCCUUUUGGGACACUGACACUGGUCGGACUCGAGCCAACUCGACCCUCGACGUGUUUUUUUUUCCUUCUUUCUUUUGAGAAUGUGUGAGAACAUGCUUUCACAAUGGAUACUUCCUGACAUAUAAUAAAUCGCACUGUGUCUGCGGUGUCUUCAUAACCGCUGGAAUGAACCCCCUUCAGACUCGAUCGGACCUGGUCUACGUCAUCCAGCAAUCUCAGAAAAGGCUCGACUAUUUAAGGGUCAGGAUGUAAAUUCAUUUAUUUCGUGCGCACCUGCUCCAGGGUGUAUGGAGCUGUUGUUUUCCUUUUUCUUUCUGCGGUUACAAUAUUAAGCUACUUGUGAGAUUCAAUUAAACACUGUUUAAAAAAACAUGCCGCUUUAUAACACCGCCCCAUUAUCACAUAUGGUUUGGUUUAAUUUCCGUUUCUGACAAAUCCAUUGCACUGAUACGAUAGAAACAAUCUAUGCCUAAUACACCUUUAUGAUGGGAAAUCGAAAGCUCUAAAUAUCACGACUAAUUCAAAGGAAUGUAUUCAAUUACAUUUAAAACGAUGGGUUUGAAUCAAUUUCAUCCACAGGUAGACAUUAAGUCACACUUAAAAGAUAGUAAAAGGAAUCAUUCAAUCUAAUUGAUGGGAGAAAAUUCAAUAAUAAUCAUACUAAUAAUAAUAAUAAUAAUAGUAAUAAUAAGUCACAUGGCUCCCAGAGUUUCUAAAUACAAUAAUAAUAUCUAAGUAGCAUUUGAACGUUCACUUCAAGCUCGGAGUGUUUCCUCAAGUCAGCACAAAUGUAGCUUUGAUUCGAAUAGCACAUAUUAAUGACGUGAACAAAGUGAAUAUUUCAACACGCGGGCUGUCACGUAUCUCGAACUCUAACGAAAAAAACCUCAGCAAAUCAAAAAAAAAGAAAAAGAAAAGAAGAAUGUCUUAAUUCUUUAGAAAUAAGCCGCUCUAUGUCAAUGAAUCAAACGGCUCAAAAAGCUCGCUGUUGAAUUGCAGUUCAUUUGCAGCGGGAUGACUUCGUUUGAUGGUUCGUUUUGAUCCGUAUCAACUGUGGGACGUCCGCUCUUCGACAGGGGUCCACACGACCGGACGUUGUCGGCGGGGAAGCACAUGCAGGUUGGAGAGGAGCACAGAGGCCACAGAGGCGCCAGGCUGCGGGUGUCUCAUCUGUAGAGUCUGUGUUUGCAUUGUUGGCAACGUGUAACUGUUCUCAUCUAUUAGUUUUCAUAAGCAGGAACUUCGCCACCCACUGCAAUCGACAAAUGAAUAUGCAACUCUUGGACUUAUAUCAAAGAUGUCUUUGUGUCAGACAUUCCCACGUGGCUGUCACAAGGAAACCAGCGAGGGAAAACGUUCCAGCAGAAGAUUUUAGCAAAUGAGCUAUUUCCUUUCUUUCUUUCUUUCUUCCUUUCUUUCUUUCUUUCUUUCUUUCUUCCUGUCUUCUCACGUGUAAGUAUCAGGGGGAUUUUUGUUCCACAUCCCUCUGAUUUGCAGAUCAAUCUCUGGAUUGAAGAUGAACAUGUUUGUCCCUGUGGAGUGAAGAUCCAUGUGCACUAUGAGAAACGAUGAUGCUACUGUAAUUUGCUUAAAGUGAGACGAGCCUUGGCUCUGAAUGUCAAAUAAAUGACGUUUGCAGGACUAUU